GAUGGAAUGUGUAUGGAGGUUGUGAGUAGGUCAAUAUGGAAUCGACUACUCCUGAUAAGAGGAGGUCGUAUUCUGUUUGCUCUAAUCAAUUGAUGAUUCAAGAAGUCUUUGAUCAAAGUAAGAUAAAAAUUAAAAAGAAUUUCUAAUAUCUUAUUAAUUAAAUUAUCAUUAAAGAUUAAGAAAAAUAUGAAUAUGAUAUUGAAUUUGACAUUAUUCUAUAUCCAGAGUCAUAUUCGGGAUGCAAGU
rnacentral:lncRNA from 1 species